rfam:Oryza nivara chromosome 6, whole genome shotgun sequence.
AAUAAGUAUAGUUUUACACUAUUUACAUUCAACGUUUGACCGUUCGUCUUAGUUAAAUUUUUUUUUAUGAUUAGUAUUUUUAUUACUAUUAGAUGAUAAAAUAUGAAUAGUACUUUAUGUGUGACUAAAUAUUUUCAAAUUUUUCAUAAAAUUUUCAAAUAAAACGGACGGUCAAACGUUGGGCACGGAUAUAUACGGCUGCAUUUAUU